rnacentral:rRNA from 1 species
GAUGAACGCUAGCUCCAGGCUUAACACAUGCAAGUCGAGGGACCGGCGCACGGGUGAGUAACACGUAUCCCACCUGCCCUUUACUCGGGGAUAGCCUUUCGAAAGACAGAUUAAUACCCGAUAUAACGGAUGGGGAUGCGUUCCAUUAGGUUGUUGGUGAGGUACCGGCUCACCAAGCCUUCGAUGGAUAGGGGUUCUGAGAGGAAGGUCCCCCGCAUUGGAACAGAGACACUGUCCAAACUCCUACUGGAGGCAGCAGUGAGGAAUAGUGGGUAAUGGGCGCUAGCCUGAACCAGCCAAGUAGCGUGAAGGAUGAAGGCUUAUGGGUCGUAAACUUCUUUUAUAUAAGAAUAUGUAUUAUAUGAAUAAGGAUCGGCUAACUCCGUGCCAGCCGCCGCGGUAAUUC